UCGAGUCCAGAGGUGAGAACCGAGGGGUGAGUGGCUGUCGCCGUUGCUCCGGCGAGCUCUGGUGGCGGCGGAUUUCUGGCGUGAAAAGUGAGAGAGAGAGUGAGAUGGAUUGAGGAACCGUGAGAGAGAGAUUUGAGAGUGAAGGUGGAGUCAGCGUGGGGUGAAGAAGAAGAAAAGAAGGUGUUGGGCUAGGUUUUGAGUUUUGGGCCGAGUUAGUUGGGCUGUUGGGCUUCUGUGUGGGCCGGUUUUUAAUUUAUUUAUCAGUAGGGUUUUUAAUUUAUUUAUCACUUGGGCCCUUUUUAUUUAAAAAAAAAUGUUGGGCCUUAAUUCAGUUAUUUAAAAGAUGGGCCCUAUUAUUGUUUAAUUAACUUGGGCUGUGCAGAUUUUCAUUUAAGGGACUCUACCAUUUUAUUUAAUUAGACUAUCAUAUUAGUUUG
rnacentral:lncRNA from 1 species